rnacentral:misc_RNA from 1 species
ACAAAAACUCAAUAACUCAAACAACAAAAAUUUAUCCAAAAUCAAAAUAUCAACAAAUCUAAAUUCUUCUAAAAACUUUAUCCUUAACUUAAAAAUAACUACCUUCUCCCUAUAUCUUCACAUACCUUCCCUCUAUACGUAUUUAUAUCUUAAUCUCCCCUUCUUAAAAAACACUCAUCUUAUUAAAUUAAAAUUCACCUAUACAACCUCUUUUUAGCCUA